CCUACGGGAGGCAGCAGUGGGGAAUAUUGGGCAAUGGAGGAAACUCUGACCCAGCGACGCCGCGUGCGGGAUGAAGGCCUUCGGGUUGUAAACCGCUUUCAGUAGGGAAGAAGCGAAAGUGACGGUACCUACAAAAGAAGCACCGGCUAACUAUGUGCCAGCAGCCGCGGUAAUACAUAGGGUGCAAGCGUUGUCCGGAAUUAUUGGGCGUAAAGAGCUCGUAGGUCGUUUGUUACGUCGGAUGUGAAAACCUGAGGCUCAACCUCAGGCCUGCAUUCGAUACGGGCAAACUAGAGUUUGGUAGGGGAGACUGGAAUUCCUGGUGUAGCGGUGGAAUGCGCAGAUAUCAGGAGGAACACCAAUGGCGAAGGCAGGUCUCUGGGCCAAUACUGACACUGAGGAGCGAAAGUCUGGGGAGCGAACAGGAUUAGAUACCCUGGUAGUCCAGACCGUAAACGGUGGGGCACUAGUUGUGGGAACCUUCCACGGUUUCUGCGACGCAGCUAACGCAUUAAGUGCCCCGCCUGGGGAGUACGAUCGCAAGAUUAAAACUCAAAUGAAAUUGAACGG
rnacentral:rRNA from 1 species